GAUGAAGACGCAGCGAAAUGCGAUAAGUAAUGUGAAUUGCAGAAUUCAGUGAAUCAUCGAAUCUUUGAACGCACAUUGCGCCCGCCAGUAUUCUGGCGGGCAUGCCUGUCCGAGCGUCAUUUCAACCCUCGAACCCCUCCGGGGGGUCGGCGUUGGGGAUCGGCCCUUUACGGGGCCGGCCCCGAAAUACAGUGGCGGGCUCGCCGCAGCCUCUCCUGCGCAGUAGUUUGCACACUCGCAUCGGGAGCGCGGCGCGUCCACAGCCGUUAAACACCCCAAACUUCUGAAAUGUUGACCUCGGAUCAGGUAGGAAUACCCGCUGAACUUAAGCAUAUCAAUAAGCGGAGGA
rnacentral:misc_RNA from 1 species